rnacentral:rRNA from 1 species
CCUACGGGAGGCAGCAGUGGGGGAUAUUGCACAAUGGGGGGAACCCUGAUGCAGCGACGCCGCGUGGGUGAAGAAGAGCCUCGGCGCGUAAAGCCCUGUCAGCAGGGAAGAAAAUGACGGUACCUGAAGAAGAAGCCCCGGCCAACGACGUGCCAGCAGCCGCGGUAAUACGUAGGGGGCAAGCGUUAUCCGGAUUACUGGGUGUAAAGGGGGCGCAGACGGCGAUGCAAGCCAGGAGUGACAGCCCGGGGCCCAACCCCGGGACUGCUCUGGGAACUGCGUGGCGGGAGUGCAGGCGGGGCAGGCGGAAUUCCUGGUGUCGCGGUGAAAUGCGUCGAUAUC